rnacentral:rRNA from 1 species
GACUACAGGGGUAUCUAAGCCUGUUCGCUCCCCACGCUUUCGCGCUUCAGCGUCAGUUCUAGGCCAGAGAGCCGCCUUCGCCACUGGUGUUCUUCCAGAUAUCUACGCAUUUCACCGCUACACCUGGAAUUCCGCUCUCCUCUCCCGAACUCAAGAGAUUCAGUUUUAGAUGCAGUUUAUGGGUUGAGCCCAUAGCUUUCACACCUAACUUAAAUCCCCGCCUAGACGCCCUUUACGCCCAAUAAUUCCGAACAACGCUCGCCCCAUACGUAUUACCGCGGCUGCUGGCACGUAGUUAGCCGGGGCUUUAGGCAGGUACCGUCAUCACAAGAAAUAUUACCCCUUGCUUAUUCUUCCCUGCUUACUGAACUUUACAACCCGAAGGCCUUCAUCAUUCACGCGGCGUCGCUGCAUCAGGCUUGCGCCCAUUGUGCAAGAUUCCUCACUGCAGCCGCCCGUAGG